rnacentral:lncRNA from 1 species
ACAACAUACUGGGCACUAAGUCCGAAGUUUCGGAGAGCUGGUAAGCUUUGGCUGUUGAGGUUUUUGAUGCGACCGGCUUUAGGGUUGUAGAAGUCAGCCGAUUUAGGGCGAGCAAUGUUGAAUUGAAGCUUUGAGGAGCAGAUUGUUUCCUCAAGCCCAUUUGAUCCAUGGCGCUUGUCUUUACUUGGUCUUGUCUCCCACUCUUCGUGUGCUUCUCCUCUUUCUACAUCUUCUUGUGCUGGUCUAUGCUCUUUCCAACUCUUUUCGUGGCGGGUCUUGUGUCGCACUGACUCAUCAGAUUCAUCCUCCUCCACUUCCACCCCUCUGUGUCCUUCUCCUUUGGGGCUUGGGGUUGGUCCCCGAGUGCGGCGAGGCUUUUCUUCUUCAUCCUCAUCCUCAUCCUCAUCCUCAUCAUGGUGAUGUCUUGAUCGUCGUGGAGGGAGUGGUUCAAUUUCUUUUUCUUCCUCUUUGUGUACAUGCUUUCGAGGAGGGAGAGGUUCAACCUCCUUUUCCACCUCUUUGUGUACAUGCUUUCCAUAAGGUUCAACCUCUUUUUCCUCUUCUUUGCGUACACGCUUUCCGUGGCUUGGUCGCCGUGAAGGACGAGACACAGAUUCAUCUUCAUCUUCAUCUUCAUCGUCGUCAUCUUCAUCUUCAUCCUCUUGUUGUCCUUGCCACUUGGGGCUGAUCACGCUGAGGCCUUCCUUCAGUUUAACGAUCUGCUUCAUUUCAUCGUCCGGAGAGAUAAGCUUGUUUGCUAUGUCUUGGUCGAUGUUGAGGGCUCGUGCUAAAAAGCGUUUUCCGAAGCCACUGAGCACGUUGCCACCUUCUUCCUCCGCCUGCUGCUGCUGCUUUUCUUUCAUUGCCUCUGGGUGCUCUAUAUCCGG